rnacentral:rRNA from 1 species
CCUACGGGCGGCUGCAGUGGGGAAUUUUGGACAAUGGGGGCAACCCUGAUCCAGCCAUUCCGCGUGAGUGAAGAAGGCCUUCGGGUUGUAAAGCUCUUUCAGCAGGAACGAAACGGUGGCCCCUAAUACGGGCUACUAAUGACGGUACCUGAAGAAGAAGCACCGGCUAACUACGUGCCAGCAGCCGCGGUAAUACGUAGGGUGCGUGCGUUAAUCGGAAUUACUGGGCGCAAUGCCAGAACACGGGGUUGAAAUCCCCGGGCUUAACCUGGGAACUGCGUUUGUGACUGUGGGACUCGAGUGUGGCAGAGGGGGGUGGAAUUCCACGUGUAGCAGUGAAAUGCGUAGAGAUGUGGAGGAACACCGAUGGCGAAGGCAGCCCCCUGGGUCAACACUGACGCUCAUGCACGAAAGCGUGGGGAGCAAACAGGAUUAGAUACCCCUGUAGUC